rfam:Brevibacillus laterosporus LMG 15441, complete genome.
AGCAUACUGUAACCGCGCGAAUCAGGUUUUAGUAAGAUGGUUUGUAAAGCCACACCUGCAUAAGGCGAGUCUGAGUAUAGGA